rnacentral:rRNA from 1 species
CCUACGGGUGGCAGCAGUGAGGAAUAUUGGUCAAUGGCCGGAAGGCUGAACCAGCCAAGUAGCGUGCAGGAUGACGGCCCUACGGGUUGUAAACUGCUUUUAUACGGGAAUAACGCGCCUUACGUGUAGGGCUUUGCAUGUACCGUAUGAAUAAGGACCGGCUAAUUCCGUGCCAGCAGCCGCGGUAAUACGGAAGGUCCGGGCGUUAUCCGGAUUUAUUGGGUUUAAAGGGAGCGUAGGCCGCAUGUCAAGCGUGCUGUGAAAUGUCCGGGCUCAACCCGGGCCUUGCAGCGCGAACUGGCGUGCUUGAGUCCGCGGAAAGCAGGCGGAAUUCGUCGUGUAGCGUUGAAAUGCUUAGAUAUGACGAAGAACCACGAUUGCGAAGGCAGCUUGCUGCAGCGGAACUGACGCUGAUGCUCGAAAGCGCGGGUAUCGAACAGGAUUAGAUACCCCUGUAGUC